rnacentral:misc_RNA from 1 species
GAUGAAGAACGCAGCGAAAUGCGAUAAGUAAUGUGAAUUGCAGAAUUCAGUGAAUCAUCGAAUCUUUGAACGCACCUUGCACCCUUUGGACUGCUCCAAAGGGUAUGCUCGUUUGAGUGUCAUUGUACUCUCACACUCUCUGAUCCUUUGGAUUUGGGGUGCAGUGGACUUGGGUGCUUGCUGCUUCCUUGUGGCUCACCUGAAAUGCAUCAGUGCAUCUCUCGAUUGGACAUAGUACGGCGUGAUAAGUGUCUUCGCCGGCACCUCAUAUGAGGGUGGCCGAUCGGGAGCUCUGUGCUUUCAAACCGUCUUCGGACAACGCUGACAACUUGACCUCAAAUCGAGUAGGACUACCCGCUGAACUUAAGCAUAUCAAUAAGCGGAGGA